rnacentral:rRNA from 1 species
GUAAGGAAUAUUGGACAAUGGACGCAAGUCUGAUCCAGCCAUGCCGCGUGAAGGAUUAAGGUCCUCUGGAUUGUAAACUUCUUUUAUAAGGGACGAAAAAAGGCUUUUCUAAGUCGUCUGACGGUACCUUAUGAAUAAGCACCGGCUAACUCCGUGCCAGCAGCCGCGGUAAUACGGAGGGUGCAAGCGUUAUCCGGAUUCACUGGGUUUAAAGGGUGCGUAGGCGGGCAGGUAAGUCAGUGGUGAAAUCCUAGAGCUUAACUCUAGAACUGCCAUUGAUACUAUCUGUCUUGAAUAUUGUGGAGGUAAGCGGAAUAUGUCAUGUAGCGGUGAAAUGCUUAGAUAUGACAUAGAACACCUAUUGCGAAGGCAGCUUACUACGCAUAUAUUGACGCUGAGUCACGAAAGCGUGGGGAUCAAACAGGAUUAGAAACCCGGGUAGUCC